GAACAGUGAAGCAGCAUGAGGAAAAAACGAGAUGACGCGAGAACAACACCAGCGGCAAUUCAACGGCACCCUUCCUACGAAACGGCGAGAGAUCACGGCGCAGUAGAAGAUCCGUAACUAGAGAACAACAGCGAGCACUGAAGUAGAGCAGGGCGAUGACAACACCAGUGGAACAACAAGGGAUCCGGAGCUGUAGAAGAUCAGCAGCGCCAGCCGCAGAACAACGAGAGGAAGAAAAGGAGGAAAAAUUCGGCACUGCAGAAGCGCCCCGCGAGAGAGAGAGAGAGAGAGAAAAAAAAAAAAAAAAAAAAAAAA
rnacentral:lncRNA from 1 species